AUACGGAGGGUGCGAGCGUUAAUCGGAAUUACUGGGCGUAAAGCGUGCGUAGGCGGUUUGUUAAGUCAGAAGUGAAAGCCCUGGGCUCAACCUGGGAACGGCUUUUGAGACUGGCAGACUCGAGUUGAGUAGAGGGGAGUGGAAUUUCCGGUGUAGCGGUGAAAUGCGUAGAGAUCGGAAGGAACACCAGUGGCGAAGGCGACUCCCUGGACUCAAACUGACGCUGAGGUACGAAAGCGUGGGUAGCAAACAGGAUUAGAAACCCUUGUAGUCCC
rnacentral:rRNA from 1 species